AGGGGUUUUUGGUUGGGGGGUCCUAACAUGCAAGUUGAGCGAGAAAUCACUUAAUGAAGCUUCGGUAGACUUAAGAGAUGGAGAGAAGCGGACGGGUGAGUAACGCGUGGGAAACCUGCCCUUGAUAUGAGGAUAGCCGAGAGAAAUUUCGAUUAAUACUUCAUAAAGCAGAGCAUUCGCAUGGAUGAACUGCCAAAGAAUUAUCGGUCAAGGAUGGUCCCGCGUCUGAUUAGCUGGUUGGUAAGGUAGCGGCUUACCAAGGCGACGAUCAGUAGCCGGCCUGAGAGGGUGAACGGCCACAUUGGAACUGAGACACGGUCCAGACUCCUACGGGAGGCAGCAGUGGGGAAUAUUGCACAAUGGGCGAAAGCCUGAUGCAGCAACGCCGCGUGAAGGAAGAAGGCUUUCGAGUCGUAAACUUCUGUCCAAAGGGAAGAAUAAUGACGGUACCUUUGAAGAAAGCCCCGGCUAACUAUGUGCCAGCAGCCGCGGUAAUACGUAGGGGGCGAGCGUUAUCCGGAAUUACUGGGCGUAAAGAGUAUGUAGGUGGUUAAGUAAGCGUAGGGUUUAAGGCGACAGCCCAACUGUCGUAUGCCCCGCGAACUGUUUAACUUGAGUACAGGAGGGGAAGGCGGAAUUCCUAGUGUAGCGGUGAAAUGCGUAGAUAUUAGGAGGAACACCAGUGGCGAAGGCGGCCUUCUGGACUGUAACUGACACUGAGAUACGAAAGCG
rnacentral:rRNA from 1 species